AACAGCUCAUUUAGAGAUGAAAUUAGGAAAAAUUCAGUACAACUCUGAAGCAUUUCUUGAAUCUGUCGGUGGUGGUGUAUGGUCAUUCUUAGUUGGUGGAGCUAUUUGUCUCAUUAAUUCCGAUGAUGAACAACUAACCUACUAAAACGACGCUCCAAUUCUACGAGUCCAAUGGUGUUUUAGAGGCAAAAGCUGCAUUUAACCGUUGGAAUCGGAGGAAUACAGAUCUGGGAUGCCCUUAAAU
rfam:Stegodyphus mimosarum contig111764, whole genome shotgun sequence.